GAUGAACGCUAGCUACAGGCUUAACACAUGCAAGUCGAGGGACCGGCGCACGGGUGAGUAACACGUAUCCAACCUGCCCUUUACUCGGGGAUAGCCUUUCGAAAGAAAGAAUAAUACCCGAUGUAAAGGAUGGGGAUGCGUUCCAUUCGGUUGUUGGUGAGGUAACGGCUCACCAAGCCUUCGAUGGAUAGGGGUUCUGAGAGGAAGGUCGCCCACAUGUGAACUGAGACACGGUCCAAACUCCUACGGGAGGCAGCAGUUAGGAAUAUUGGUCAAUGGGCGUUAGUCUGAACCAGCCAAGUAGCGUUAAGGAUGAAGGCUUAUGGGUCGUAAACUUCUUUUAUAUAAGAAUAGGUAUUAUAUGAAUAAGGAUCGGCUAACUCCGUGCCAGCAGCCGCGGUAAUUC
rnacentral:rRNA from 1 species